ACAGGUUGAUCCUCUUACUCAUCAAGUCUUAAUUAGUAAUUCUGGUCUCUUUCUACAGGAAACGUGUUCCUGAAGCAUGGGUCUGAACUAAGACUGAUCCUUGCUUUCCUUGCUCGCGUUGAACAGAGGCAUGGCACAAGAGUAUCCAAAACGUUUUAUGAGAGCUGGAAAUGAGCCCAAAGUGAGUCUGAUUAACAAUUCAUGUCGAAUGUCUAUUUUAGACAAGAUCAAGAAGGCAUUACCAGCUGAGUAUGAUAUAGUGAAGAGUCAUCCUGUCUUCGCACAUGUGUUUGCAAUACAUGAAAACGGUCUCGGGUAUUCGGCUCGAUUGAUACAUAGCAUAAUGUGUAGGCAAUUGAUAACGAAGAAAAAACAUGAGCUCUGGUUUGUGUUUGGAAAGAAGCCACUCAGAUUCUCUAUGCAAGAAUUUUAUGCAGUUACUGGGCUAAAGUGCAAGGAUGACUUCUCUGGUGAUUUAGAAACUUGGAAAAAAGACAAGGGGUUUUGGAGUAAAUUGUUGGAUGGAGAGGAGAUUAUUACCAUGGUGAAGUUGAUGAAGAUCCACCUUAAGCAGCUCCCA